rnacentral:rRNA from 1 species
GAUGAACGCUGGCGGCGUGCCUAACACAUGCAAGUCGAGCGUGAACCCUGCGAAUGAAACUUCGGUCGAUUUUGCGAGGGGGAAAGCGGCGGACGGGUGAGUAACGCGUAGGUAACCUGCCCCAUACUGAGGGAUAGCCGUCGGGAAACCGGGAUUAAUACCUCAUAACACCGUAUAUUCGCAUGGAUGUGCGGUCAAAGAUUUAUCGGUAUGGGAUGGGCCUGCGUCUGAUUAGCUGGUUGGUGGGGUAACGGCCUACCAAGGCGACGAUCAGUAGCCGACCUGAGAGGGUGAUCGGCCACAUUGGAACUGAGACACGGUCCAAACUCCUACGGGAGGCAGCAGUGGGGAAUAUUGCACAAUGGGCGAAAGCCUGAUGCAGUCAACGCCGCGUGAGCGAAGAAGGCCUUUGGGUCGUAAAGCUCUGUCGGGUAGGAAGAUAAUGACGGUACUACCCGAGGAAGCCCCGGCUAACUACGUG